UUAAUGAGGGGAGGAAAAGAAACUAACAAGGAUUUUCUUAGUAGCGGCGAGCGAAAAGAAAAUAGUUCAGCACUAAGUCACUUUGUCUUUAUGGCAAAUGUGAGAUGCAGUGUAUGGAAUGUCAAAUUUCUAGUAUGAGAAAUUAACGAUUUAAGUCCUUCUUAAAUGAGGCCAUUUACCCAAAGAGGGUGCCAGGCCCGUAUAACGUUAAUGAUUACUAGAUGGCAUUUCCAAAGAGUCGUGUUGCUUGAUAGUGCAGCACUAAGUGGGUGGUAAACUCCAUCUAAAACUAAAUAUAACCAUGAGACCGAUAGUAAACAAGUACCGUGAGGGAAAGUUGAAAAGAACUCUGAAUAGAGAGUUAAAUAGUACGUGAAACUGCUUAGAGGUUAAGCCCGAUGAACCUGAAUAUCCGUUAUGGAAAAUUCAUCAUUAUGAUUUUAAUAUUUAUAAUAUUAUAAUAAUGGUGUGCAUUUUUUCUAUAAAGGACAUUGUAAUCUAUUAACUUUACAUUAUUUAUCAUAAGAUCAUUAGAUUAUGUUUAUUCAAAUUAUUUUGCUUGCAAUUUAAUAUCGAAUAAAUUCUUUUGAUUUGAUAAAGCGUUGAUAGAUUUAUUAUAUACAGUGCUUAAAUAUUUAUAUUUUAUAAUAUCAUAUUAAUCAAUGAUUUUUAUGUUCAUUAUAUGCACUUGUAUGAUUAACAAUGCGAAAGAUUCAGGAUACCUUCGGGACCCGUCUUGAAACACGCAAGUUAUUGGGAAUAAAAACCUAAUAGCGAAAUUAACAUAACUUUAAUGGGAUUAGUUUUUAGCCUAUUUAUAGUCUAUUAAUUCAAUCCCGGGGCGUUCUAUACAGUUAUGUAUAAUAAUAUUUAUAUUAUUUAUACCUCUAACUAGAGCGUNNNNNNNGCAUAUAUGCUGUGACCCGAAAGAUGGUGAACUAUACUUGAUCAGGUUGAAGUCAGGGGAAACCCUGAUGGAAGACCCAAACAGUUCUGACUUGCAAAUCUAUUGUCAGAAUUGAGUAUAGGGGCGAAAGACCAAUCGAACCAUCUAGUAGCUGGUUCCCUCCGAAGUUUCCCUCACGAUAGCUGGUGCAUUAAAAAAUUAUGUAAAAUAAUCUUAUCUGGUAAAGCGAAUGAUUAGAGGCCUUGGGGUCAAAACGAUCUUAACCUAUUCUCAAACUUUAAAUGGGUAAGAACCUCACCUUUCGUGGUAUGAAGGUUGUGGUUGUGAUAUAAUGUGCCCAGUGGGCCACUUUUGGUAAGCAGAACUGGCGCUGUGGGAUGAACCAAACGUAAUGUUACGGUGCCCAAAUUAACAACUCAUGCAGAUACCAUGAAAGGCGUUGGUUGCUUAAAACAGCAGGACGGUGGACAUGGAAGUCGUAAUCCGCUAAGGAGUGUGUAACAACUCACCUGCCGAAGCAACUAGCCCUUAAAAUGGAUGGCGCUUAAGUUGUAUACCUAUACAUUACCGCUAAAGUAGAUGGUUUAUAUUCAAUUUCGGUUGGAUUUUAAACUUUGAAACUUUAGUGAGUAGGAGGGUACAAUGGUGAGCAUAGAAGUGUUUGGCGUAAGCCUGCAUGGAGCUGCCAUUGGCACAGAUCUUGGUGGUAGUAGCAAAUAAUCGAAUGAGACCUUGGAGGACUGAAGUGGAGAAGGGUUUCGUGUGAACAGUGGUUGAUCACGAGUUAGUCGGUCCUAAGUUCAAGGCGAGAGCCGAAAAUUUUCAAGUUAUAAUGAAUAAGUAAAAUAUAUACAAGUAUAUAUAAGAAAAAGUAAUAAAACACUUGAAUAAUUUUGAACGAAAGGGAAUACGGUUCCAAUUCCGUAACCUGUUGAGUAUCCGUUUGUUAUUAAAUAUGGGCCUUGUGCUCAUCCUGGCAACAGGAACGACCAUAAAGAAGCCGUCGAGAGAUAUCGGAAGAGUUUUCUUUUCUGUUUUAUAGUCGUACUACCAUGGAAGUCUUUCGAAGAGAGAUAUGGUAGAUGGACUAGAAGAGCAUGA
rnacentral:rRNA from 1 species